rnacentral:misc_RNA from 1 species
AACCUUAUGGACCUGCGGGCGUAUACCUGCGGAAGGAUCAUUAACCUUUCAAAUCAGGGUGCGGCGCGGCCCCCGAGGAGCGGAAACAAUCCUUGGGAGGUAUGCGGGGGCUUCGAGCCCCCCAUUUACGCACGCACGACUGCCAUCCUUACUUUACGAGCACCUUCUGUUCUCCCUCGGCGGGGCAACCUGCCGUUGGGACCGAAUAAACUCUUUUUGCAUCUAGCAUUACCUGUUCCG